rnacentral:tRNA from 1 species
GGAGAGGUGGCAGAGUGGUCGAAUGUACCUGACUCGAAAUCAGGCGUACCGCAAGGUACCGAGGGUUCGAAUCCCUCUCUCUCCUCCA